rnacentral:tRNA from 1 species
GGUCCCUUCGUCUAGUGGUUAGGACGCCAGGUUUUCAUCCUGGAAACAGGAGUUCGAUUCUCCUAGGGACUGCAA